rnacentral:lncRNA from 1 species
CCACUUAAAUUUUCUUUUAAUCUCAUCUGUACAUUUUUAUCCAAACGGCUGAUAAUUUUUUCUUUUACUCCCAUAAGAAUACUCUUUCUCACUGUAUAUACCAUUUAAUUUUUAUUUUCUUUUUACUAUUUUUCUUUCCUUUUGUGUUUCUUUUUAUGUGUACCUUGCACUACUCUAUCAGAUUGUGCAGAAAGAAGCUCAUGUAUUCACGUCAUUGGCACUUUUGCAAAG